UACGUAGGGUGCGAGCGUUGUCCGGAAUUAUUGGGCGUAAAGAGCUCGUAGGCGGUUUGUCGCGUCGACUGUGAAAACCUACAGCUUAACUGUGGGCUUGCAGUCGAUACGGGCAGACUUGAGUUCGGUAGGGGAGACUGGAAUUCCUGGUGUAGCGGUGAAAUGCGCAGAUAUCAGGAGGAACACCGGUGGCGAAGGCGGGUCUCUGGGCAAUAACUGACGCUGAGGAGCGAAAGCGUGGGGAGCGAACAGG
rnacentral:rRNA from 1 species